AUUCGCCCUUAGAGUUUGAUCCUGGCUCAGGACGAACGCUGGCGGCGUGCCUAACACAUGCAAGUCGAGCGAGGGGAAAGGCUUCGGCCUGGAACCUAGCGGCGGACGGGUGAGUAACGCGUGAGGAACCUGUCCCAAACAGGGGGAUACCAGAUGGAAACAUCUGCUAAUACCGCAUAAGACCACAGAGUCGCAUGGCUCAGGGGUCAAAGGAGGAAUCCGGUUUGGGGUGGCCUCGCGUCCGAUUAGCUAGUUGGUGAGGUAACGGCCCACCAAGGCAACGAUCGGUAGCCGACCUGAGAGGGUGAUCGGCCACAUUGGAACUGAGACACGGUCCAAACUCCUACGGGAGGCAGCAGUGGGGAAUAUUGGGCAAUGGGCGAAAGCCUGACCCAGCAACGCCGCGUGAGGGAAGAAGGUUUUCGGAUUGUAAACCUCUGUCCUAAGUGACGAAGGAAGUGACGGUAACUUAGGAGGAAGCCCCGGCUAACUACGUGCCAGCAGCCGCGGUAAUACGUAGGGGGCAAGCGUUGUCCGGAAUGACUGGGCGUAAAGGGCGUGUAGGCGGCCAAUUAAGUUGGGAGUGAAAUUCCCGUUUUCAAGAUGGGAACUGCUUUCAAAACUGAUUGGCUUGAGUGCGGAAGAGGUAAGUGGAAUUCCCAGUGUAGCGGUGAAAUGCGUAGAGAUUGGGAGGAACACCAGUGGCGAAGGCGACUUACUGGGCCGUAACUGACGCUGAGGCGCGAAAGCGUGGGGAGCAAACAGGAUUAGAUACCCUGGUAGUCCACGCGGUAAACGAUGAGUGCAAGGUGUAGGGGGUAUCGACCCC
rnacentral:rRNA from 1 species